AGCUGCUCGGAAUCCACAAACCAUUCCACCCGACAGUCAGAAUUUCUUUGAAUAUGUCCUUGAAUUCAUUUGAGACUUGAGCAAAACUCAGAUUGGAGAAGAAUAUGGUAAAAGUUACCUUA